rnacentral:misc_RNA from 1 species
UUAAGUUCAGCGGGUAGUCCUACCUGAUUUGAGGUCAAAAUGUCAGGAGUUGUCCAUAGAGGACGGUUAUAAGCGGAACCCACAAUAAAGCUGAUUCUCAAUGGCGUAGAUAAUUAUCACACCAGGGAUGGUCAACAAAGGUUUCACUAAUGCAUUUAAGGAGAGCCGACUUCUGAGAAGCCCGCAACUCCCACAUCCAA